UGGGGAAUAUUGGGCAAUGGAGGGAACUCUGACCCAGCGACGCCGCGUGCGGGAUGAAGGCCUUCGGGUUGUAAACCGCUUUCAGCAAGGAAGAAGCGAAAGUGACGGUACUUGCAGAAGAAGCACCGGCUAACUAUGUGCCAGCAGCCGCGGUAAUACAUAGGGUGCAAGCGUUGUCCGGAAUUAUUGGGCGUAAAGAGCUCGUAGGUGGUUCGUCACGUCGGAUGUGAAAAUCUGGGGCUUAACCCCAGACCUGCAUUCGAUACGGGCGAGCUAGAGUGUGGUAGGGGAGACUGGAAUUCCUGGUGUAGCGGUGGAAUGCGCAGAUAUCAGGAGGAACACCAAUGGCGAAGGCAGGUCUCUGGGCCAUUACUGACACUGAGGAGCGAAAGCGCGGGGAGCGAACAGGAUUAGAUACCCUGGUAGUCCACGCCGUAAACGGUGGGCACUAGUUGUGGGAACCUUCCACGGUUUCUGCGACGCAGCUAACGCAUUAAGUGCCCCGCCUGGGGAGUACGAUCGCAAGAUUA
rnacentral:rRNA from 1 species